CGAUCAGAACCUUCGACCCGAGAGCUCGACGACCCGCGACGGUUCUCCACCGUCCGGGGACGACCCCUCGUUUGAAUCCUCUUUCCAGCUUCGAGCUUCCGGCGGUUCCGACGCAUUUUCCGGCCAUCAACGGGGCUGCAUGAGGGUACCGGCGGAGCCGCUGUCCUCUUUGGUCGUUCUAUGCUUCUGGUUUCAUAUCCGACGUCUUGGAGCAUCGUCUGAGGUCCGGGGAAGCUCAGCUAGCUCUUUGGGUUGGCUGAAAUGAUCGAGAAGUUUGGCUAUGCUCUGCGUCCGUCGUAGUCGUACCACCACUUGAGGUGGCGGUUUGAAUUUCCUUUUGGUUUAAUUUUGAUGAUAGUGUGCAUCUGAUAUUGGCUAUCAAUGCAAAAUUUCUUAAAGUGCAGCAAUUGGAAGUUGAUUGAAGUCCAGGAAUAUUUGAAGGGACCUAGUUCAUUGUUUACGUAAUGUAAUUGCUGUGGAAAUUCCAAUCAAGUUUCGAAUUUAAGCCUCGGCUUAAUCUUGUGUAAGGUGCUCGGGAUUUCUCUUCAAAUUAAUCUGUGAUGGAUAAUAUUCGGAAGUUGGUUGCCGUAUAUGCAUUUCUACUAUAGUUUGGUUCAUAUUGUUAAGAGUGAGGUUACUUGA